AAUGCAGUCGACGCACUCUGGACUGAUUGAAGAAGCUUGCUUCUGAUUGAAGCUCAUUUGAGUGAGUGGCGGACGGGUGAGUAACACGUGGGUAACCUGCCCUAAAGUGGGGGAUAACAUUUGGAAACAGAUGCUAAUACCGCAUAAAACCUAGCACCGCAUGGUGCGAGGUUGAAAGAUGGUUUCGGCUAUCACUUUAGGAUGGACCCGCGGUGCAUUAGUUAGUUGGUGAGGUAAAGGCCCACCAAGACUGUGAUGCAUAGCCGACCUGAGAGGGUAAUCGGCCACACUGGGACUGAGACACGGCCCAGACUCCUACGGGAGGCAGCAGUAGGGAAUCUUCCACAAUGGACGAAAGUCUGAUGGAGCAACGCCGCGUGAGUGAAGAAGGUUUUCGGAUCGUAAAACUCUGUUGUUGGAGAAGAAUGUAUCUGAUAGUAACUGAUCAGGUAGUGACGGUAUCCAACCAGAAAGCCACGGCUAACUACGUGCCAGCAGCCGCGGUAAUACGUAGGUGGCAAGCGUUGUCCGGAUUUAUUGGGCGUAAAGCGAGCGCAGGCGGUUUUUUAAGUCUGAUGUGAAAGCCUUCGGCUCAACCGAAGAAGUGCAUCGGAAACUGGGAAACUUGAGUGCAGAAGAGGACAGUGGAACUCCAUGUGUAGCGGUGAAAUGCGUAGAUAUAUGGAAGAACACCAGUGGCGAA
rnacentral:rRNA from 2 species